GGCACAGCUAAGGCUCCCUGAUUUGGUUUGAAAGAAGAAAACAUUCAGUCAUUCUUGAAGUUGGCUUUCUUCAAUCAGAAUGAAACUGGCUGCUCUGGCUGUGCAGCCUCCGCCUCUGGGUCUCCCGUCUCUGCUAAAUAUACUGGCUGGUCUGCAAGCAGAGGACUGAUUCCAUUGAGUUUUAUAGCAUCAUGUCAGAAAAAGAGGAGGCAUCCAGAGGGAAGGCGAGGAAAUGGAAUGCUUAUUAUGUCGGAUUCUCCGAGCCGUGUGCCGCGGAGCUCUGAGCGCCAACGGCGGCGCUGCGCAGCGUCAGGAUAUUGCUACAGAAAUUAUUCCCUCGGAUUCCCAUCCGUUGGGUCUUCUAGGCUCUUGCGGGUUGCCUGCAGUGGGACAGUCUCCAAUUCCAUUACUUCUGUUGUGGGUAACCAUACAAGUAGCUCAUGCUUCCGACCUGAUCCCUCUGUAAGGACCUCCAAGUCAGCUGCCUGGAAGGACCUCUCCUCCGGGUCUGUUGGACCACUGAAGCUCCCG